CCUACGGGUGGCAGCAGUGAGGAAUAUUGGUCAAUGGACGAGAGUCUGAACCAGCCAAGUAGCGUGAAGGAUGACUGCCCUAUGGGUUGUAAACUUCUUUUAUAUGGGAAUAAAAAAUUCUACGUGUAGCAUUUUGUAUGUACCAUAUGAAUAAGGAUCGGCUAACUCCGUGCCAGCAGCCGCGGUAAUACGGAGGAUCCGAGCGUUAUCCGGAUUUAUUGGGUUUAAAGGGAGCGUAGGUGGAUUGUUAAGUCAGUUGUGAAAGUUUGCGGCUCAACCGUAAAAUUGCAGUUGAAACUGGCAGUCUUGAGUACAGUAGAGGUGGGCGGAAUUCGUGGUGUAGCGGUGAAAUGCUUAGAUAUCACGAAGAACUCCGAUUGCGAAGGCAGCUCACUGGACUGCAACUGACACUGAGGCUCGAAAGUGUGGGUAUCAAACAGGAUUAGAUACCCUAGUAGUC
rnacentral:rRNA from 1 species